AACGUAGGAGACAAACGUUAUCCGGAUUUACUGGGCGUAAAGGGCGUGUAGGUGGUUUAGUAAGUCUGGCGUGAAAUUUUUCGGCUUAACCGGGAAAGGUCGUCGGAUACUGCAAGACUAGAGGACGGUAGAGGCGUGUGGAAUUCCGGGUGUAGUGGUGAAAUGCGUAGAGAUCCGGAGGAACACCAGUGGCGAAGGCGACACGCUGGGCCGUACCUGACACUGAUGCGCGAAAGCAUGGGGAGCAAACAGG
rnacentral:rRNA from 1 species